rnacentral:tRNA from 1 species
GCCUGGGUGGCUCAGUCGUUAAGCGUCGGACUUCAGCUCAGGUCGUGAUCUCAAGGUUCGUGGGUUCAAGCCCCACGUCAGGCU